ensembl:lncRNA
GAGGGGGGGUCUUGUUUGUGGGUGUGCGGGGAUGGGAAAGGAGUUGGAGAGGAGGUGGGGGGCCGGCGGGGCCGGCUGUGCGGCAGGGAGCCUGCCUCGUGUCCGCCCCGGGGGCGGCCUGCGAAGGGGAAGGGGUUUCGCUGGGGAGUGCGGGGGGGGGAGAAGGCCUGAGCCGGGCUGGGGGGGACCUCUUCCAGCCGGGGGUGGAGCUGGGAAGGAAGGGGGUCCGGGAGGCGGUGGGUUUCCUGGGGCGUGAGCGGGGGGCAGGGUUGUGGAGCCGGAGAGAGGGCUGAUGGCGGGAGCUGACGGGGGCCGAGGGUGCCGGGAGCGAAGGGCCGAGGCGGGGAGCGGUGUCCGUGCUGGGUACGGCUGGGGUUUGCCCCGGGGGGGGGGGGCGAGGAAGCCCGGCAGCGGGGGGCCGCAGGUCCGGGGGUGUCGGUGCCGCAGCGGCAGCCCCCGUGCCCUCGUGGGGAAGGCUCCCGGCGAGGCUGGGUCACGGCCUGCGUUUUCUCUCGGGGCAGCUGCGUGCUGGUUGCUCUCGGCGUGAGGAGGAGUGAGGCGGAAAGUUGGCUCCUAACGGCGGCCGUAUAAAGGGAAAGCGGCCGCAGAGCUCCCCGAACCAAGCGGCCGGGUUCUGACUCAGAACUGCACGUGUAGAAAUACUUCGAGCCGGUGAACUCAGCUGCUGGAAGGGAAAGGUCGCCGGGAGCUGGAGCUACGGGGAGGCGGCUCCCGCGUUUGUAGGGGUGCGCGGCCGGGGCUGCUGGCGGGGUCUGGCUGGGAGGUUGUUGCCUACGCCCCUGGGAAGGCGGGUUCUGCCUCCGUCCCUUGGCACGGGGACACCGCGGGGCUGCCCUGCGGCCGCAGCCGGCUGCCUCGCUCCUGCCGCUGGACUUUGCCCCGUGCCGGAGCCGCGCUGGGGAACGGCCAGGCGGCCUCCGCUGCCUCGUCCUGCCAGAGCCGGGCCGCGCCGGCCGCCUGUGAGGGCACGUUGCUGUCCUUGGCUCGAGGAGGAGAGUCCCCGGCUGCAAACACGGCUCUUGAGGCGCCGCGGGGCGAGCGGGGACGCUUUGGAAGCGGUGCGGGGUGUGUCGUGGCGGUGUCUUCGGAGGAGACCCGUGGGUGAUGUACGGGGGUGCUGGCAGAGGGAACUCUGCGGUGCCUGUUGGUCUCGGGCUAGUCCGGCCGCGUGUUUGCCUGGUAAAGAGCUGGGAUUUAAAACAGCUCUGAGUAAACGUUGGAAAAAGAGACCUAAAGGCUGAGAAUCUGGGCUGGAAAUUGCGCUCUUGACACACGUGAAUCGCAGCGCGAGGCCAGGCCGGCACCUGCAGGCCGGUAUCGGAGGCGGAUAUCCCGAGAACAGAGUACCCUCAGAGGGGCUGCUGCCUUCAGGUUCGCCUCGUGGCUCUUUUUGCUAAUUGUGAAGGGCGAAAGGAGCCUGAAAUCUCUCGAUCCCUUCUUCUCUUCUAACCUCGAGCGCCGGGCUGCUGUCUCUCCUCAGGGCGCUGUUGCAGGUAUCUUUGCUCCCCCUUGUUUCUCUUCUUUGUGC